AAGAUACUCCCUCCGUUCGGAAUUACUUGUCUUGAAAAUGGAUGUAUCUAGAAUUAAAAUACGUCUAGAUACAUCCAUUUUCGCGACAAGUAAUUCCGAACUGAGGGAGUAACAU
rfam:Triticum aestivum genome assembly, contig: Triticum_aestivum_CS42_TGACv1_scaffold_031308_1BL